CUCCGCAUCGGUUCCCAAUUUAUUGGGUACCGUGAAUAUGCUAAUAGAGCCGAAGAGAAAUUUGCAGAGGCUAACGAACGCGCCGACGCACUGGCUCAAAAACUUGAGCAAAGUGAGGCGGCUCGCAAGAAAGCCGAACUCGCUGCUAGCAAAGCCAAGGUCGAAGCUGAUGAAGCUAAGGCGAAAGCUGCUGGUGUCGAGGAACUGCAGAAGAAACUUGAGGAUGCGACAACUGCCUUGGAUGAGCUCAAAGCUGCACAAGCUUCUCGUGACGAAGGAAUCCUCAAGCGUUUGAAGUCGCAAAGUCGACGUACUCUGACCCAAACAAACCAGGAUUUUGAUCUGGAUAAUCCUGUCAACGAUCCUCUCCUUGACGCACUUUCUCUUCUGGAGUUUCACGGGCGCG